rnacentral:rRNA from 1 species
UACAGAGGUGGCAAGCGUUGUUCGGAAUUACUGGGCGUAAAGGGCGCGUAGGCGGUUCGUCAAGUCCUGUGUGAAAUCCCCCGGCUCAACUGGGGAACUGCACAGGAAACUAGCGGGCUUGAGUUCGGGAGAGGGAAGCGGAAUUCCGGGUGUAGCGGUGAAAUGCGUAGAUAUCCGGAGGAACACCGGUGGCGAAGGCGGCAUCCUGGACCAACACUGACACUGAGGAGCGAAAGCCAGGGGAGCAAACGGG